rnacentral:rRNA from 1 species
GAUGAACGCUAGCUACAGGCUUAACACAUGCAAGUCGAGGGGCAGCAUGAAGUUUGCUUGCAAACUUUGAUGGCGACCGGCGGAUGGGUGAGUAACGCGUACCCAACCUGCCCCCUUCCCGGGCACAGCCCUUGGAAACGAGGAUUAACGCCCGAUGGCGUCUGGAUGCCGCAUGGCAUUCCGACCAAAUGCGAAGGAAGGGGAUGGGGGUGCGUCCCAUUAGCUAGUUGGCGGGGUAACGGCCCACCAAGGCAUCGAUGGGUAGGGGUUCUGAGAGGAAGGUCCCCCACACUGGAACUGAGACACGGUCCAGACUCCUACGGGAGGCAGCAGUGAGGAAUAUUGGUCAAUGGAGGCAACUCUGAACCAGCCAAGUAGCGUGAGGGAUGACUGCCCUACGGGUUGUAAACCUCUUUUGUCGGGGAAUAAACCGCGCCACGUGUGGCGCCCUGCAUGUACCCGCAGAAUAAGGACCGGCUAAUUCCGUG